rnacentral:rRNA from 1 species
CCUACGGGAGGCAGCAGUGGGGAAUAUUGCACAAUGGGGGAAACCCUGAUGCAGCGACGCCGCGUGAAGGAAGAAGUAUUUCGGUAUGUAAACUUCUAUCAGCAGGGAAGAAAAUGACGGUACCUGACUAAGAAGCCCCGGCUAACUACGUGCCAGCAGCCGCGGUAAUACGUAGGGGGCAAGCGUUAACCGGAUUUACUGGAUGUAAGGGGAGCGUAGGCGGUUUAGCAAGUCAGAAGUGAAAGUCCGGGGCGCAACUCCGGGACUGCUUUUGAAACUGUUGAACUAGAUUGCAGGAGAGGUAAGUGGAAUUCCUGGUGUAGCGGUGAAAUGCGUAGAUAUUAGGAGGAACACCAGUGGCGAAGGCGGCUUACUGGACUGUAAAUGACGCUGAGGCUCGAAAGCGUGGGGAGCAAACAGGAUUAGAUACCCCAGUAGUC